rnacentral:rRNA from 1 species
AGCGAACGCUGGCGGCAUGCCUAACACAUGCAAGUCGAACGAGACCUUCGGGUCUAGCGGCGCACGGGUGCGUAACGCGUGGGAACCUGCCCUUAGGUUCGGAAUAACUCCCCGAAAGGGGUGCUAAUACCGGAUAAUGUCUUCGGACCAAAGAUUUAUCGCCUUUGGAUGGGCCCGCGUUGGAUUAGCUAGUUGGUAGGGUAAAAGCCUACCAAGGCGACGAUCCAUAGCUGGUCUGAGAGGAUGAUCAGCCACACUGGGACUGAGACACGGCCCAGACUCCUACGGGAGGCAGCAGUGGGGAAUAUUGGACAAUGGGCGAAAGCCUGAUCCAGCAAUGCCGCGUGAGUGAUGAAGGCCUUAGGGUUGUAAAGCUCUUUUACCCGGGAUGAUAAUGACAGUACCGGGAGAAUAAGCUCCGGCUAACUCCGUG